UACGUAGGGUGCAAGCGUUAAUCGGAAUUACUGGGCGUAAAGCGUGCGCAGGCGGCUUUGCAAGACAGAUGUGAAAUCCCCGGGCUUAACCUGGGAACUGCAUUUGUGACUGCAUGGCUAGAGUGCGGCAGAGGGGAUGGAAUUCCGCGGUGUAGCAGUGAAAUGCGUAGAUAUGCGGAGGAACACCGAUGGCGAAGGCAAUCCCCUGGGCCUGCACUGACGCUCAUGCACGAAAGCGUGGGAGC
rnacentral:rRNA from 1 species